rnacentral:rRNA from 1 species
UACGUAGGGUGCGAGCGUUAAUCGGAAUUACUGGGCGUAAAGCGUGCGCAGGCGGUCUGUUAAGACAGAUGUGAAAUCCCCGGGCUUAACCUGGGAACUGCAUUUGUGACUGGCAGGCUAGAGUAUGGCAGAGGGGGGUGGAAUUCCGCGUGUAGCAGUGAAAUGCGUAGAGAUGCGGAGGAACACCGAUGGCGAAGGCAGCCCCCUGGGUCGACACUGACGCUCAGGCACGAAAGCGUGGGGAGCAAACAGG